rnacentral:rRNA from 1 species
AUGGGGACCUGUAUGAAUGGCAUAACGAGGGCUUGACUGUCUCCUCUUUCAAGUCAAUGAAAUUGAUCUCCCCGUGCAGAAGCGGGGAUAAGUACAUAAGACGAGAAGACCCUAUGGAGCUUCAGACACUAAAGCAGAUCAACAUUAAUAUCCUAGAUACAGGACACGAAUAAACUGAACCCUGCCCUACUGUC